GAUGAAGAACGCAGCGAAAUGCGAUAAGUAAUGUGAAUUGCAGAAUUCAGUGAAUCAUCGAAUCUUUGAACGCACCUUGCGCCCUUUGGCCAUUCCGAAGGGCAUGCCUGUUUGAGUAUCAUGAACACCUCAACUCUCAUGGCUCGCCAUGAUGAGCUUGGAUUUGGGGGUCUUGCUGGCCUGUGGUCGGCUCCUCUCAAAUGGAUCAGCUUGCCAGUGUUUGGUGGCAUCACAGGUGUGAUAACUAUCUGCGCUUGUGGUUUUCCAUCAGAUAACCUUCAGUGAUGGAGGUUCGCUGGAGCUCAUAAACGUCUCCCCUAAGCGGGGACAGCCCUUUGAAUGUUUGAUCUCAAAGCAGGUAGGACUACCCGCUGAACUUAAGCAUAUCAAUAAGCGGAGGA
rnacentral:misc_RNA from 1 species